GAUGAACGCUGGCGGCGUGCUUAACACAUGCAAGUCGAACGGUGAACACGGAGCUUGCUCUGUGGGAUCAGUGGCGAACGGGUGAGUAACACGUGAGCAACCUGCCCCUGACUCUGGGAUAAGCGCUGGAAACGGCGUCUAAUACUGGAUAUGUGACGUGAUCGCAUGGUCUGCGUCUGGAAAGAAUUUCGGUUGGGGCUGGGCUCGCGGCCUAUCAGCUUGUUGGUGAGGUAAUGGCUCACCAAGGCGUCGACGGGUAGCCGGCCUGAGAGGGUGACCGGCCACAAUGGGACUGAGACACGGCCCAGACGCCUACGGGAGGCAGCAGUGGGGAAUAUUGCACAAUGGGCGCAAGCCUGAUGCAGCAGCGCCGCGUGAGGGAUGACGGCCUUCGGGUUGUAAACCUCUUUUAGCAGGGAAGAAGCGAAAGUGACGGUACCUGCAGAAAAAGCGCCGGCUAACUACGUG
rnacentral:rRNA from 1 species